ACUGCUAUUUGGGUGAGGAUAAGCCAUGCGAGUUGGAUGGGAUACCUAAACUUCCCAUAGCAAACUGCUUAGUAACACAUGAUCAACUUGCCCUAUGGAGAAAAAUAACCUCGGGAAACUGAGGAUAAUGUUUCAUAGUCGAAUAGGCUUGGAAAAGUUUUUCAAUGAAAGGAAUAAGAUAAAUGGUUCUUAUUUGCCAUAGGAUAGGAUCGUGGUCGAUUAUGGUAGUUGGUGAGAUAACGGCUCACCAAGCCGAUAAUCGAUAGGGGCCGUGAGAGCGGGAGCCCCAAGAUGGGUACUGAGACAGCGACCCAGGCCUUACGAGGCGCAGCAGGCGCGAGACCUCCGCAAUACACGGAAGUGUGACGGGGUUACCCAAAGUGUUCUCUUAAGAACUGUGGUAGGUGAGUAAUGUCCCCUGCUAGAAAGGAGAGGGCAAGGCUGGUGCCAGCCGCCGCGGUAAAACCAGCUCUUCAAGUGGUCGGGAUAAUUAUUGGGCUUAAAGUGUCCGUAGCCGGUUUAGUAAGUUCCUGGUAAAAUCGGGUAGCUUAACUAUCUGCAUGCUAGGAAUACUGCUAUACUAGAGGGCGGGAGAGGUCUGAGGUACUACAGGGGUAGGGGUGAAAUCUUAUAAUCCUUGUAGGACCACCAGUGGCGAAGGCGUCAGACUGGAACGCGCCUGACGGUGAGGGACGAAAGCCAGGGGAGCGAACCGGACUAGAUACCCGGGUAGUCCUGGCCGUAAACGAUGCAUACUAGGUGAUGGUACGGCCAUGAGCCGUAUCAGUGCCGUAGGGAAACCGUUAAGUGUGCCGCCUGGGAAGUACGGUCGCAAGGCUAAAACUUAAAGGAAUUGGCGGGGGAGCACCACAAGGGGUGAAGCCUGCGGUUCAAUUGGACCCAGCGCCGGGAAACUUACCAGGGGAGACAGUAGAAUGACGGUCAGGUUGACGACCUUACCUGAUGAGCUGAGAGGAGGUGCAUGGCCGUCGCCAGUUCGUGCUGUGAGGUAUCCUGUUAAGUCAGGCAACGAACGAGAUCCGCGCCUUUAUUUGCCAACAAGAAGUUACGACUUCGUUGGGAACACUAAAGGGACCGCCGUCGAUAAGACGGAGGAAGGAGCGGGCAAAGGCAGGUCAGUAUGCCCCGAAACCCCUGGGCUACACGCGGGCUGCAAUGGUAUGAACAAUGGGCUGUAACUCCGAAAGGAGAAACCAAUCCCGAAAUCAUAUCACAGUGGGGAUUGUUGGCUGUAACCCGCCGACAUGAACGUGGAAUCCCUAGUAAUCGUGUGUCAUCAUCGCACGGUGAAUACGUCUCUGCUCCUUGCACACACCGCCCGUCGCUCCAUCCGAGUGUACUAAAAAUGAGGUUUGGUCAGACUGGUCAUAUCGAGUUUCUAGUAUGCGAGGAGGGAGAAUUCGUAACAAGGUA
rnacentral:rRNA from 1 species